rnacentral:rRNA from 1 species
UACAGAGGUCCCAAGCGUUGUUCGGAUUUACUGGGCGUAAAGGGUGCGUAGGUGGUCAAUUAAGUCUAAUGUGAAAUCUCCCAGCUCAACUGGGAAACUGCAUCGGAAACUAGUUGGCUUGAGGGUUGAAGGGGGGACUGGAAUACUUGGUGUAGCAGUGAAAUGCGUAGAUAUCAAGUGGAACACCAGUGGCGAAGGCGAGUCCCUGGACAACUCCUGACACUGAGGCACGAAAGCUAGGGGAGCAAACAGG